rnacentral:rRNA from 1 species
UACGAAGGGGGCUAGCGUUGCUCGGAAUCACUGGGCGUAAAGGGUGCGUAGGCGGAUCUUUAAGUCAGGGGUGAAAUCCUGGAGCUCAACUCCAGAACUGCCUUUGAUACUGAGGAUCUCGAGUUCGGGAGAGGUGAGUGGAACUGCGAGUGUAGAGGUGAAAUUCGUAGAUAUUCGCAAGAACACCAGUGGCGAAGGCGGCUCACUGGCCCGAUACUGACGCUGAGGCACGAAAGCGUGGG